rnacentral:rRNA from 1 species
GGGGAAUCUUGGACAAUGGGGGCAACCCUGAUCCAGCCAUGCCGCGUGAUCGAUGAAGGCCUUAGGGUUGUAAAGAUCUUUCAGCUGGGAAGAUAAUGACGGUACCAGCAGAAGAAGCCCCGGCUAACUCCGUGCCAGCAGCCGCGGUAAUACGGAGGGGGCUAGCGUUGUUCGGAAUUACUGGGCGUAAAGCGCACGUAGGCGGACCUGAAAGUCGGGGUGAAAUCCCGGGGCUCAACCCCGGAACUGCCUCCGAAACUGUGGGUCUGGAGGUCGAGAGAGGCGAGUGGAAUUCCGAGUGUAGAGGUGAAAUUCGUAGAUAUUCGGAGGAACACCAGUGGCGAAGGCGGCUCGCUGGCUCGAUACUGACGCUGAGGUGCGAAAGCGUGGGGAGCAAAC